CCUACGGGAGGCAGCAGUGAGGAAUAUUGGUCAAUGGGCGCAAGCCUGAACCAGCCAAGUCGCGUGAGGGAUGACGGUCCUAUGGGUUGUAAACCUCUUUUGUCAGGGAGCAACGCCGGCUACGUGUAGCCGGACUGAGAGUAUCUGUAGAAAAAGCAUCGGCUAACUCCGUGCCAGCAGCCGCGGUAAUACGGAGGAUGCGAGCGUUAUCCGGUUUUAUUGGGUUAAAAGGGUGCGUAGGCGGCAUGCCAAGUAAGCGGUAAAAUCGCGGGGCUAACCCUGGCUCCGCCGUUGAAACUGGCAGUCGUGAGUGUGCUAGAGGUAUGCGGAAUGCGUGGUGUAGCAGUGAAAUGCGUAGAUAGCACGAAGAACUCCGAUUGCGAAGGCAGCAUACCGGCGCCCAACUGACACUGAAGCACGAAAGCGUGGGUAUCGAACAGGAUUAGAUACCCUUGUAGUC
rnacentral:rRNA from 1 species